UAUGUGCUACAACUUGGAUGAAUCUUGAAAACAUUUUAUUAACUGAAAGAUGCUAGUCACAGAAGUCCGCAUAUUGUAUUAUCCCAUUCAUAUGAAUAAGGUCCCACAAAUCCUAUAAACUGGGACAGGAGUUCGGGUGAGGGCCACACAGAAGAAUCUUCCCUUUCUAUGGAAGCAUUACGCCAUUACCUUCCGGCACCAAGUGUGGCUGAAGAGAAUUUGGUUGUCCGUGAUAUGACAGCAAGCAGAGGCACCUCAAGUCAGAAUAAGAAGGCUCACCGUCUGCCAGGGAAAUCCCAUAUCACCAGAACACAACAUCUUGCUUCUGUUCAUUCUUUACUCAUGUGGACGACUAUUUAGAACAACUGCCAAAGGAGGCCUGAUUUUCAAGUCCUUGUUUUAUGGCUAAGGAAAGCCAUGUGGUUAUCAUCAUUUUCUAUGGAAUUUCCAUUUAAUAUUUUAUGUUCAGGGUUGACUGCAAGCAACUAAAAUCACAAGAAGUGAAACUGUGGAUAAGAGAGAAUUACUGUGCCACUCUGAUUUGAUGAAUGUAGUUAAGUUCUGAUACCUGCCUACUCAGUGUGAAGAUGACAAGGAUGAAACCCUUUAUGAUGAUUCACUUCUACUUAACGAAUAGGGUGUCAGCCAUGAACCUAAGAUGAAAAACCAAGAUAUUCACAACUUCUUUUCCCAUACAGUACACAAAUGGAAAAGAAUAUGGAGGGCCCAAGAAAAUGCAAUGACUGGAAAUGCCUUGGAGAUCAACAGGACUUGAGACCAGCAUGUGGUGGGGGCAGAGAAUAAAUGAGCUUGAAAAGUGG